CACAGCGGUAGUCGGCUGUACUGGCCGGCCCUAUGCCUGAGCUAGCUACACUGCUGGGAGAGGAAGGCUCUGUGGCCUAGUCCAGAAGACACUGUUUUAAUGGCUGAUGCUGAGCUGUAGCAGAGCUGUGACCUUUAGAGAGUGGGCUGUACCCGCUCACUGGGGCAGCCCUAGUCUAAGGGCUAACAAA